ensembl:lncRNA
CGAGCCCAGCCUCUCCGCUCAUUGGACUGCGCAGCCGCGCCGCAUAGUCAGCCCAUGUGGCGUGGCCAGCGCGAUGUGACACAUUAUAAUUCACCGGAGACGAGAGGAGGAGGCUGUGAAGGAAACGCUCCCCUCACACUCACUGCAAACCACGGGGACGGACACACACACGUCCGCAGCUACACAACAGAGCACCGCCGGUAAGCUAACUCUGCUAAGUGUCGUUAGCUUCAUAAGAACGUAACACAAAACUGUGUGUUCGCUUGUUAUUCCCACCGGUGUGUCGCUGGGUUGUGUCCCGUCAGUCACGUGUCCUUGCGUUACACACCGGCUCAGCGGGACAUCGGACAUGUAAUCCGUGUUUCUGUGUCUUCCUGGUGGACAUAAUUGAUGUUCGUGGAAUGAAAACCGAUUAAACAGACUCGUAUCCCGCAUUGCAUUGUGGGAUGGAGAGCCUGGCCGGUGGUGUUCUGAUUCACAUGCUGCGCCCACCUGACCAGUGACGUCACGGGAGGCCUAGGUGGGUCCAGCAGGUGUCCCACCGAGCUCUGUGAGGGCUUUGCUGUGUGUUUGGAGGUUCUCUGGCACAGGAGACGUUGGUCCCACGUCGUGUGUUCUGACCCGAUACCUGCACUCAGGUACACAGGUACACAGGUACACAGGUACACCGGUACACCUGUCUCUGCAGUUGUCUCCAGCCUGUCUGGUCUUGAUGAGCUCAGCAGCCUGACAUCCGGAAUGCAGCCGUCCGCCUGCUGUGACAACAGGACGCGUUUUAGAAGCACGGAAUGUAGAUGAGCCGCCGUGUCGUAACCGCUCGCGUCACACAAGCGCAACUGAAUGUCCCAAGAAAACUGAGAAAGAGCCGUAACACGCGUGUGCGGAGUGACUGUGAUCGGGGUCAGCUGAGGCCGCGGCGUGUCCUCCUCAAGGUGCUACAUUGCUUCUAAUCCUCGGCUCGUGUGUCCUGCCAGAUCCCUGCAGCUACAGGCCUCCGUCCUACUGGUUCGUCCUGCUCAUGGGCGGGUUUGACCGUCGCUGUGCCGUUAUCACGGUGCAUUAUGGGAAGUGCAUAUUUUCUCAUACAGAUCACACAUUUCUCCAGAAUGCUGUGGCUCCAGAUCCCUGUGACGGAGUCUCAGGAGUGUGCUAGAUGACGGGAGGGUGUCUACUAUGAGACUCUGAGGCUCUGUCCCCAGCUGCGUGCCCAUGGGCCCGUGGGCCCGUCCCUGGCCUAGAAAGGGAACAAAGAGCAGGCAGUGCAGCGUGGCUGUGCUCCGCGGCGUACACAGGGCUGUUGUAAGUGCUCUCUCAUGCGUGCUCACAGGGACUCAAGUACGCGUGCUUCAGUUUCCACACAUCACGGCUGACGUUUGGAAGCACUUGGCUGGGCUACAUAUUUCUCCUCCCAUGUCCUCACUGGAUCUCUGCACACGGGUUCCACUGAUGACCGCUAGUCAGCCUCCGUAUCGGCCCACUGCAAAGACACACGUGCUACAGAUGCAGAAACAAAAGCCCACGUCGGCUCCAUCAGUUUCAGCUGGUCCUGAGCAAGGCUAAAGCCUGUAGGACGGGGGGUAGAGGACCUAAUGUCCCAGACAGGAUCACACGGGGCCGUAACUCAGCAUGGACGAGAUCGUCAUCGCAGGGAUCUCGGGCCGUCUGCCCGAGUCCAACAACCUGGAGGAAUUCUGGGAAAACCUCAUCAAUGGCGUCGACAUGGUGACGGAGGACGACCGGCGGUGGACACCAGGCACGGCAGCUCUGCCCCAACAUGCCCCCCGUGAUGGAUGUGGAUUUUCUUUGUUCUGAUCACUUUGAAUAAAAGCUGUUUGACGUGCAGGACGACCACAUUCCUCUCGCUGCAUAUCAGGGACCGACCUGCUCUGCUGGUUAGAGACACUCUGAGGACGGAGACGCCCUGUUGUUCCUCCCUGUGCUGGCUGCCAGUCCCCGGUCUGUCUCUUUGGGUAUCGCUGGUUUCCUGAAGCCCUCAUGCACGUACAUUUGCAAACGUAGCGUUCUCAGCGCCACAGCCGGCGUGCAGAGAGCGCUCGCUGUGACACUUUAGUUCACGCCGUAUUUACAUCAGGUGAUCAGCGCCUUUCUCCUCCCACUACGCCGCACAGCGCGAGCAUUUAAACGCGGCGUGAACGGACCUCCUUCUCUUUCUAUCACGGAUCAGAGAGAAGUCCAUGUGUUAUUUGCGUGGUGGGAGACGUGUGCGCUGUAGCAAAGCGUUGUGUACUUGUGCUGAGUGCAGACUGAGAUAUUCCCCCUGCUGAUGCUGUGACUGUCUGAAAUGAUCCUGGUCUAACCAUUGGAAUGUGGCUGCAGCGAUGGAAUGUGGACGCUGAGUAGGAGAUGCAAUGUCACCUUUGAUUUCUUCCAGUAACUGUAAUGUUGCUGCUUCAUCUGUAACGCGUCUUAUCGGCCUCUGUGGCUCUGAUGACUGCUGUCAUUUCACCAGGAGCCAAAUGGGAGGAAACCCGCAUUCUGCUUUUACAAGGCCGAUCAUUCUCACCGCCGCUUUACCCGUCCCCGCCCAUCGCUUUAUGGGACACUCCCCCUUCCCCCUGACGCUCCCGUCAAUGCAUAUUCAUGACACGGAAAAGCACGAUUAGCCUGUUUCAGUUUCCACCGUCUGCGCUUUCAGCUCCGUGCGGCUUGUUUGUAGAAACCUCGCUGUGCUGUAACGCACACGUUGCAGAACGAAAGUGUUCGUACACGAGACCCUCUGCCUCUUUGGUGCGCUGGGGGGGUCAGGGUUUGAACACAACGUAUGAUGCGUCAUCAUGCCGGUUUGCUUUUUCCUGUCUGACGAUUGAACCUAAUUUAGACUUGUAAGUUCUAUGCUAAUAACUGCUGUCUGUCCUGCGUUUACAUUCUUUAUGUGUUAGUUCUAUAAAGAUCCAUAUGUCAGUGCGUUCUGUCUGAGUUGAUCUCAGACGGUUACCAUGACGAUCUGCGCUGUCAGGAAGUGAACCUCAGCGUCCCUCAAAGCAUUCUCUGCUGUGGUUCAGAGUGCUGCUGUAGCAGCGUGCACAGAGACCCGAUUCAGAGCAGCAACGGCCGCUUGCAUGCAUCUGAUUGGCCGGUGUGGGCCGGGUGCUUGCAUGCAUCUGAUUGGCCGGUGUGGGCCGGGUGCUUGCAUGCAUCUGAUUGGCCGGUGUGGGCCGAGCCCUUUGUUACUGACGGGACUCGUAUGAAUGAGGAGGAUUCUCACACUGGUCGUCCUCCAAACGACCCUUCGCUGUUUCAUUGUGUUAUUGGUGCACCUCAUGUCACUGCUGUCCCACUACCCCCCUCCAGGUUGCAGUUAUUUCCCC